GAUUGUUUAUUGCAACUCAAUUUACAAUCACCAAGAGAUGUGGAAACAACCCAAGUGCACAUCAACCAGGGAAUGAAUUAAGGAACUGUAGUAUAUGUAUACGAUGAAAUACUAUUCAUCCAUAAAAUAAUUGGAGACUUUACAUCUUUUGUAUUAACCUGAAUAGAGUUGAAACACAGCCUUCUUAAUAAAGUACCACGAGAAUGGAAAAGCAAGUAUAUCCAAUGUACUCACUACCAAUAUGAAGCCAGUAGAUGAACUAAUACACACCCACGCAAGAGAAAAACUCAAUUCAAUUCAAGUUGUGGGAAGGGAAAAAAGGGAGGGGGAGAGAGAGAGAGGAGGGAAGGGAGGAAACGGAACUGAUGUGCUCCCACCUCAUGGGCAUAUCAUAAGGGUACAUGGCACACCUCCAGGAGGUGAAACACAACUACAACAGGGACCUUACUAACAAACACAAACAUUGUAACCUAAUCAUUUGUACCCUCAUAUUAAUCUAAAAAUUUUUUUUAAAAAGACUUUUUUUAUUUUGUAGAGACAGAGUCUCACUUCAUGGCCCUCGGUAGAGUGCCGUGGCCUCACACAGCUCACAGCAACCUCCAACUCCUGGGCUUAAGCGAUUCUCCUGCCUCAGCCUCCCGAGUAGCUGGGACUACAGGUGCCUGCCACAACGCCCGGCUAUUAAAAAGACAUUUUUUAAGGAAAAAAAAAAACAAGAACAAAAAAGACCAGAAUUCUGUUCUCUGCUCCACCAUUUCAGGAAAGGGAAACAAAAAACAAGAGAUUCCAAGGGUAAUUUGCUCUCUGUGAAGGCACUGAGCCUGAGCAACUGCGAACAAAGUUAGCCAACCUUCUACUCUGCCCUCCAGGGAGACAGUGGUCAUAGAUCUUGUCUUUAUGACCAGAGAAACCCAACAAUGCUUUCAAUUCCCUUAGGGCUGUACCAGGGGUAAGUGAGUGUAAUUAUGAAAAGAGGCUAACUUUUGCCUCCAGGUGGCCAGAGGGAGAGUGAGUAACUUGGCUCUGGGAUCUCUGUGUUCCCUUCUGCUUGCCCCCCAGGGCAUGCUACAAGCUAUCUGCAGUGAGUCUAAGCAAGGGCUCUGUCAGGUGAGAUCUAGGUAGGUGGGGCUGCCAGGAAUAUAAGCAGCAGGUGCCAAGAAGGCAAAAUCCCUGCUUUGGCCUUUGAACACUAUUCUAACCACCUUGCUCAAUCAUGAAGGUGACUUUGGCUUUGCUGUUGCUCUCAUUGGGACUCUUCUCUUCUGCACUUGCUUGCAGAGAGAUGAAUGAGUAUUUCAAAGAUUUCUUUCAGAGCUGCAUUUCCAACUUCCUGAAAGUGUCCACUCCUCUGGAAUUGUCUCUGCCGCUCCAGAGUAUCCUGCAUAAACUCAGAGCAGAGGUGGAUGCCCUGCCAGCUGAGCAGAUAAAGGCCCUGGUCACCCUACUGCAAAACAUCAGAAACGACUGUUAAAGGGCCAGAGGAAACGAGCCUCAGAUGCCUGGAGUGUGGCGCGUAUCCGUCCUCCCAACUCCCACCCACCUGGCCGGCCUGGGUGUGAACGGGUUUCUCCCCUCGUAGCCUGAAACCAAGUCCUUACCUGGACCCAGCUCAUCAACUCUCAAGCCAAAUGUCCACCCCUUUGCUUGGCUCCUUUCAAUAAAAACAGUGCAGUUGCCAUCAUGGGAAAGCUACUUCUGCUGUGAUAGGAGAGGGUUGGGGCUAAGGAUCAGGCAGGGUGCCUUCUCUGUGGUUGAGACAAUGAAAACAAAAAAUGGACACAGCGUGGUAACAAAGGUAAGCUGGACCCAAUGACACAAACUUCUCUACGCAGGGAAUGAGACGGGUGUAUGUGUUCCCGAAGGGUUUUCUCCAAACCAUCACCCUGCAAUGCUACCCCGAGCUUAUAUUUCCCUGCGCAGGAUCUAAGUUAUUUUCUCUCUGAUAAAAAGCCAUGAUACCAACCUCAGUGAGUUUUCACUUUCAUAGAAACACAGUUGUAUUACCAAUGACAUAACCGUAUCUGAGGGCUGACAAUUAAGUUCAAGAAUUCAUCCUAGAACAAGUGCUACAUGCCUCCCUGUUGAAUACUACUGCAGUCACAGUCACCUCGGCAAAGGGACCUGCAGACCUCGGUUCACAUCCCUCCCCCUUUUCUGCAUCUUUUCUCUUCCCAGAUCGGAAACUCCAUACUGCAUACGCACCUACCCUUCAAAGAAAUUACGUUCUCGGUGUUUUUUUGUUCUCUUGUUUGUUUGUUUUUUUGAGCUAGAGUCUGGCUCUGUCAUGUGCUGUGGCAUGAGCCUAACUCACAGCAACCUCAAAUUCCUGAGCUCAAGCAAUCCUCCUGCCUCAGCCUCACAAGUAGCUGGGACUACAGCUCUGUGCUACAACACCUGGAUAAUUUUUCUAUUUUUAGUAUAGAUGGGGUCUCUCUUACUCAGGCUGGUCUCAAACUCCUGACCCCAAGUGAUCCUCCUGCCUCACUCUCCCAGAGUGCUAGGAUGAUAGGCGUGAGCCACCCCACCUGGCCUCCUUCACAUUUCUCACCCAAGAACAGCAUAUGGCCCUUUGUGGCUGGCUUGUAAG